rnacentral:rRNA from 1 species
AGAGUUUGAUCCUGGCUCAGAAUCAACGCUGGCGGCGCGCCUAACACAUGCAAGUCGAGCGAGAAAGGGGCAACCUGAGUAAAGCGGCGUACGGGUGAGUAACACGUGGAUCAUCUACCCUUUUGUGGGGAAUAACUCUGGGAAACCGGAGCUAAUACCGCAUAAGUCCGAGAGGAGAAAGCAGCAAUGCGCAGAAGGAGGAGUCCGCGGCUGAUUAGCUAGUUGGUGGGGUAAUGGCUCACCAAGGCUUCGAUCGGUAGCCGGCCUGAGAGGGCACACGGCCACACUGGCACUGAGACACGGGCCAGACUCCUACGGGAGGCAGCAGUGGGGAAUCUUGCACAAUGGGGGAAACCCUGAUGCAGCGACGCCGCGUGAGCGAUGAAGCCCUUCGGGGUGUAAAGCUCUUUCGACGGGAACGAUUAUGACGGUACCCGGAGAAGAAGCUGCGGCUAACUACGUGCCAGCAGCCGCGGUAAUACGUAGGCAGCAAGCGUUGU